UAUAUAGGUGUGACUAAAAGUACUAUUAUAAAAAUUAACAACUCUGAUCUCUGGUGACCUCAACCCACAGGGCAUGAUCCCACAAUCUUUAACUUCUAUUUUUUUUUUUUUUGUAGAGACAGAGUCUCACUGUACCGCCCUCGGGUAGAGUGCCAUGACGUCACACGGCUCACAGCAACCUCUAACUCUUGGGCUUAUGCGAUUCUCUUGCCUCAGCCUUCCAAGCAGCUGGGACUACAGGCGUCCGCCACAACGCCCGGCUAUUUUUUUGUUCCAGUUUGGGCGGGGCUAGGUUUGAACUCACCACCCUCGGCAUAUGGGGCCAGCGCCCUACUCACUGAGCCACAGGCGCCGCCCUUUAACUUCUAUGUUGAGGAGCUCAAAGCUAAAGUAAAACUGGCAUUACUAUGAGUGAUAAAAAAUGUCCAAUGAACACAGCUCUGGCCUUCUACCUUUGGUCCUAUUUUCUGCCUGGAACUCUCUUCCCCCAGUUAUCUGCAUGGCUUGUACCUUUAUUUCCUUUAAGUCUCUCUGCUCAGGGGGAAGGAUGGGUGGAGGGAGGGUGUAUUGGUGGGAGACCAAACCUACAGUGCAUCUUACAAGGGUACAUGUGAAACUUACUAAAUGUAGAAUGUAAAUGUCUCAACAUAAUAACUAAGAAAAUGAGGCGAGGCCCAGCUCCCUGAAAGAAGAGUAACCUACCCCUGUGGUUCAUCACCAUGCCCUCUGACCUGACCAAGAAGAAGGCAACCAAAAAGAAGGAAGCUGCCAAAGCUCGACAGCGGCCCAGAAAGGGACAUGAAGAAAACGGGGAUAUGGUAACAGAACCACAGGUGGCAGAGGAGAAAAAUGAGGCCAAUGGCAGAGAGACCACAGAAGUGGAUCUGCUGACCAAGGAGCUAGAGGACUUUGAGAUGAAGAAAGCUGCUGCUCGAGCUGUCACUGAUGUCCUUGCCUCUCACCCCAACAGUACUGAUGUCUACAUUAUCAACCUCUCACUUACCUUUCAUGGUCAAGACCUGCUUAGUGACACCAAACUGGAAUUAAACUCAGGCCUCACAUAUCAGGCCUUAUAUUGCACACAUAAGGCCUCAUUGGCUUAAAUGGAAUUGACAAGUCCAUGCUGCUGUCUGCUAUUGGGAAAUGUGAAGUACCCACCCCUGAGCACAUUGACAUCUACCAUCUGACUCGAGAGAUGCCCCCUAGUGACAAGACUCCCUUGCAGUGUGUGAUGGAAGUUGACACAGAGCAGGCUAUGCUGGAGAGGGAGGCUGAGUGGCUGGCUCAUGAGGAUGCUGAGUGCGAGAAGCUCAUGGAGCUCUAUGAGCGCCUGGAGGAACUGGAUGCCACGGCAGAGAUGAGGGCUUCACGGAUCUUAUAUGGACUGGGUUUCACACCUGCCAUGCAGCGCAAGAAAUUAAAAGACUUCAGUGGGGGCUGGAGGAUGAGAGUUGCCCUUGCCAGAGCCUUCUUUAUUCGGCCCUUCAUGCUGCUCCUGGAUGAGCCCACGAAUCACCUGGACCUAGAUGCUUGUGUGUGGUUGGAAGAAGAACUAAAAACUUUUAAGCGCAUCCUGGUCCUCGUCUCCCAUUCCCAGGAUUUUCUGAAUGGUGUCUGUACCAACAUCAUUCACAGGCACAACAAGAAACUGAAGUAUUAUAUGGGUAAUUACGAUCAGCAUGUGAAGACACGGCUGGAGCUGGAGGAGAAUCACUGAGAGCAAGAUCAGAUUGCACACAUGAAGAACUACAUUGCUAGGUUUGGUCAUGGCAGUGCCACGCUGGCCCGGCAGGCCCAGAGCAAGAAGACAUUAUAGAAAACGAUGGCAUCAGGCCUGACAGAGAGGGUCGUGAGCGACAAGACACUGUCAUUUUAUUUCCCACCAUGUGGUAAGAUCCCUCCACUGUCAUUAGGGUGCAAAAUGUGAUUUUCAAGUAUACAAAGGAUGGGCCUUGUAUCUACAAUAAUCUGGAAUUUGGUAUUGACCUUGACACAUGAGUGGCUCUGGUAGGGCCCAAUGGAGCAGGAAAGUCAACUCUUCUGAAGCUGCUAACUGGAGAGCUACUAACCACAGAUGGAAUGAUCCGAAACACUCUCAUGUCAAAAUAUGGUGUUACCAUCAACAUUUACAAGAGCAGCUGGACUCAGACCUCUCCCCUUUGGAGUACAUAAUGAAGUGCUACCCAGAGAUCAAGGAGAAGGAAUAAAUGAGAAAGAUCAUUGGACGAUAUGGUCUCAAUGGAAAACAGUAGGUGAGCCCAAUUCGGAACCUGUCAGAUGGGCAGAAGUGCCAAGUGUGUCUGGCCUGGCUGGUCUGGCAGAACCAGGAUCUGGCUUUUCCUGGAUGAGCCGACCAAUCACCCGGAUAUUGAGACCAUUGACGCACUGGCAGAUGCUAUCAAUGAGUUUGAGGGUGGUAUGAUGCUGGUCAGCCAUGACUUCAGACUCAUUCAGCAGGUUGCACAGGAAAUUUGGGUCUGUGAGAAGCAGACAAUCACCAAGUGGCCUGGAGACAUCCUGGCCUACAAGGAGCACCUCAAGUCCAUGCUGGUGGAUGAGGAGCCCCAGCUCACCAAGAGGACCCACAAUGUGUGAGUCCUCUGCCCCAGCUCAGGUCAGGAGCUUCAUCUGGGACGAACAGCUGUCACCCUGACCAGCUGCUCAGGACAGAACCCUGGGGCUACACUCCAGCACCGCUGCAGUACUACUCCCCCAGCCUCUCCCCGACCCCUCAACCUGCCUUGGCUGCACUCUGUUAUCAUAUCUACAGCUGGACAGUACCUGUCCGUUUCCUAUCCUCCUUCCAGUUACAUUUGUCCGUGUCUGGACUCGGCUGGCUGUUCCCUCCAGCCCCUUGCUGGUUACCUGACCCUGAGUGUGAUGCAGCCAGAGGCACCUAAGGGUUAGCCCAAGGACCCAUGCCCUGGAUUUGGCCCUUGAAGGAGCUCAGGAUCCUCGUUUUCUGGCUUUUGGUGAUGUUAGAGGGCUACUGCCCCUAUUCCUUUUGCUUCUGGUUUGGAGCUCUGGACCAGGGCCUCAGA